AUUGUUUAUUAUAUUGUAUGUGGAAAUUUGUGAAAGUUAUAAUGAUGAGAUAAGAUGGAUUGAGAUUAACUCUCUAUCCAAACUGAGCCUAAUUCACAUAGGCGUAGUAACACUAUUGAGAUGCUUUAUUCUGAAAUUAAUGUGCUUUCUUCCCCUACCGGGAUUUAGGAUCAUAUUGUGUAGUUUUAUGAAGUUCUACUAACUGAGACGGCUGAUUGGAGACCUACUCUUGAUGGUUUGGUUUUUGAUUCAUUGGAUUCUUUUUCUGCAAGCUGGUUGGAGAGACCGUUUGAGGAGAAUGAGGUUUAUCAGGUGGUUUGUGGAAUGGUCAAAGAUAAAGCUCCUAGCCCGGAUGGUUUUUCCAUGGGUUUUUUUCAAGUUUGUUGGGAUGUUGUGAAAGUAGAUGUGUUAAGGGUUUUCCAGAAAAUUUUCAACUAUCAAAAGUUUGAGAAGUCUCUUAAUGCCACCUUCAUCUCUCUUAUUCCUAAAAUAGCUGGAGCCUCUGAGUUGAAGGGUUUUUGCCCUAUUAGCUUGGUAAGUGGGGUUUAUAAGAUAAUUUCUAAGGUGCUUGCCAAUCGCAUGAGUACAAUGAUGGAAAAAAUUAUUUCUAAACCCCAAAAUGCUUUUGUUCGGGGUAGGCAAAUACUUGAUUUGUUUGAUUGCUAAUGAAUGUUUAGAUAGCCGAAUGAGGGAGGGUGUCUCGGGUGUCAUUUGUAAGCUGGAUAUGGAGAAGGCGUAUGAUCAUGUGAAUUGAGAUUUUUUUUUCUAUAUGCUUGGGAGAUGUGGUUUUGGGGAAAGGUGUUGUGCGUGGAUUAGACAUUGUGUCUUUACUGCUCGGUUUUCAGUGUUAGUUAAUGGAAAUCCUUGUGGUUUUUUUCAUAGCUCUUGUGGAUUGAGACAGGAGGAUUUGUUAUCCCCUUUCCUCUUUGUCAUUAUCAUGGAAGUUUUGAGUUGAAUGGUGGAGGUUGUUGUAAGGGGGAUUUUCUUUUUGGAUUUACGGUGGGAAAUGUUAACCAUGGCUUUUUCACACUUUCUCAUCUUCUUUUUGUAGAUGAUACUAUUAUUUUUUUGUGAUGCUAAUCGUGGACAGAUUCAAGCCUUUAGGGCUAUUUUACUAUGUUUUGAAGUUGUAUCAGGCCUUAAGGUAAACUUCGGUAAGUCGGAGAUGGUUCCGGUGGGAGGGGUGCAGGUUAUUAAUUGUUUGGCGGAGUUUUUGGGGUGUAAAGUUGCUGCUCUAACUAUGAAAUAACUUGGCCUUCCACUGGGGGCGUCUUUAAGGCUAAGUCUAUUUGGGAUUGGGUAGUUGAUAAGAUUGAGAAAAGGCUGGCGGGUUGGAAGAGGUUAUAUCUAUCAAAAGGGGGUAGAAUCACUUUUAUUAAAAAUACUCUUUCGAAUCUCCCAGCUUAUUACCUUUCUUUAUUUCCUUUGCCUGCAGGGGUGGGAAACUGAAUUGAAAAAUUAUUUCGUACAUUUUUGUGGGGAGGAAUGGGUGAGGAGACUAAAAUCCACCUUGUUAGUUGGAAUAGAGUUUGUUCUUCUAUUUCAAAUGGUGGCUUGGGGGUUCGAAAUUUAAGUAGUUUUAACGAAGCCUUAUUGGGGAAAUGGUUGUGGAGGUAUCAAUUGGAAGGGGAGUCGUUGUGGAGGGAGAUUAUAGAUCGGAAAUAUGGAUGUGAUUUGGGGUGGGGGGGAGGGGGGGGGGGGGUUGGUGUUCUAAGGAGGUUAGGGGGACUUAUGGUGUGAGUCUUUGGAAAUUUAUUAGAAAGGGAUGGGAGAAUUUUGUUAAACAUAUGAACUUUGUUGUGGGUGAGGGUUCAAGGAUCCGUUUUUCGU